rnacentral:lncRNA from 1 species
CCCAGCCGGUGCCAUCCCAAGUUGCCUCUAAUUAUCUACUAGACAGGAAACGAUUGUCUAUUGAUUUCUUGAUAUUGAUGAGGAAAGCUACACCACUUUUCUCAUUUGCUGGGACAUCUGAGAAAUGAUAACUUCACAAUGUGCUUUGUGAAAAAUACUGAAAUUCUUGCAAGGAACCACCUACUAAAUAGCAUUUUUAGUGCAUCGAAGAUUUACCUGAUCUCGUAAUAUCUCUGUUCCAACAUGUGGUGUCAACAUGACAUGAGGAUGGAAAUUUUCAAAACUGUGCCAUCAAGGAAUGGAAAGUAUCAGUUUCAUCAGGAGCUAGGAACGACCAGAAGAAAGAAAGAGCACUUUGAUGUGGCUGUAGUUUGGACUAUCUUGUGCUGAAUCCCCGUACGUGGCACCAUACCUGUCCAUGUUCAAACCCAGCCCCUGUUUAUUUAGACUCAUCGAUUUAUAGUCCUGUUCAAUCCCCGGAAUCUCUCAUCAUUAGGCUCUCCUCUUCGUGUAAAAGUUCAGUUGGUAUACAACCUUGCUGAGUUUGAUCUGGAAACAGAAGCAGUACUACAUCAUCCUCCAGUUGGUGCUGCUCUCCUGGUCGUCCUCACGGCCGCGGUGGUCUUUCCGUCUCUGCUCCAUAGAGAUAAUUGUUAUAAUUUUCAGGAUUAAUUCAGGAGCUGUAUUUUAUUAUCAACUUUCAGCACAUUGCCUUCAUGGAUAUGCAUAAAUGUUGGAGAAAUAAAUUGCAGAAAUAAGAAUGAUGCUAAUCAACUAGCAUUUGCACUUGGAUUUCAUCACUGUGCCUUCAAUACAUUAGAUACUAAAUGCACGCUUUACACUUCAAUCUAAAACAGUUUUAUCUGCUGACACUGUAAAAAUGACACUUCCCUUUUGGUGAACCCGUAUGAAAAUAUGCCUAUUUUAAUAGACUAAAUUGGACAUUUAUGAAAACGACAGGAGAAUCAAAAUCCUCUAAUCACCGAUGUAUUUAAGGUAAGAAAGUGAUUUCUCAUCACAAGUAGUUAAGCCCACUCCCAACAUUCUGAAAACAUAAGACCUCUUGUCAUAUAUAUGCUGCUAUGAUAAUGGAAAAUGUUGAUACUCUUCUCAGUAUAAUAGUUGUGGCUCUGAAGAGACUGGAGUGAAAUCGUAAAUAAAAGUUUAGCCUAUUAGCUGCUGGCAACUUUCUGCUCAGAUUCAAGUUAACUUGGCUCCUGAAAGAUUUCUAAAUGCUUACUAUAGGUUCACACUUGAAUUGGGUAUAAUAAGUUUCAGAGUUCACACAUGAAGUUUGAAAGAUUCAUGGAUAACGUUCAGCUCUGAUUCAAAUUCAGACUUCAGACUUCAGAGUACAAAAUUUACAUACCACCUACAUUUUACAUGCAUGAGUGACUCAUUCAGAUUGUUUAUAUCCAAGUGAAGAUGCACCAAAAUGUAGAAAAUUGAUUAAAGCACCAGAUGAUGCUAGUUUAUUCAAAGCUAUAGUACAAUACUAGAAGGAUUACUUAACUUGCAAGAUGCAACAAAGAGAAAAGUAGGAGCUUCCCUGAAUAAAACUCAUGCAUUGUCAGGCCAUACUUGUUGCUGAAGCUUCAGGGCGUCAUCAACUAACAGAGACUUCAGAAUAAUGUAUAGUACAGCAAAGCCAUUGCUGCCAUUAUUCGUCUAGUUUCCUGGAAGAAGAAAAAAAGCACCAUCUACAUCCACUUUCAGCACAUCUUCACCUGGAAGAAAGAAAGCACCAUCCACAUUCAGUAAAUCAGUAUGCUUCUAUUGCCUAGCCCUUUUUUUCUUGAGGAAAACUCAACAUCUUCUCACCUGGUGGUAAGUCACUUCAUCAUUCGACCUGUUCCCCUCACCUACAUUUCAUUAAUCUUGUUUCUAUAAUUUCAACAAGCACCAGAAAAGGGACCAUCUCCUUUGCCUUACUGCAAGCACACACCAGA